UUUUCUCAAGGUAGACCUCGUACCUCUUGCAGAAGCUGAGGAUUACAGGGUCCAACGAGGUAAACGUGAAGGGGUAAGUGUAAAUACUUAGAUACCCCCCCCCCCUCCACAUGGGUUGUAAUGUGUUCAUUGGGCCCGGGGACAACCACAUCAUUGCCCUUCCAAUUGUAGUCCACCCGAACUGUGGUAGUAUAUCUACGUAUUUGAGGAUAUGUACCUCCAUACACUCUCGCCUCGGCCUUGCUUACUGGAGGCUUUCUCGACUUUGAUGUCGUUCUUGAUGGAACAGCCCCUGGGGAUGAAGCUCUUCAAAGGAGGCUCCGGGGCCACCUCAGGAACAGUCGCCUCGGCAUUCGUGGUCGGGUUUGAAGUUGAAGGGAUGACCUGUUGAGGCAUGAAUUUGGAAGUUUUUGCCAUCGGAUUCUGACAAAUAUAAAGGUUUGAAGUUAAUGAUGAAGGUUUGAAGAUGAGGAUGAAGAUUUGAAGAUAGUGAUGAAGAUAUAAAGGUCUGACUUGAAGAUUUAAAGAAAGGGUAUGAAGAUUUGAAGAUGAAGAUAUGAAUAUCUGGAAACAAUAUAUGAAGAUUUGGAGAGGUCAGAGUUAAGUGAGAGAUUCGAGGAUAAAUCAAUGAGCUAUAGAAUUGGAAAGUAAAAAAGUGAAAAAGAUGUUGGAGCUUUUAUAGAGAAAUGGCAAUCAAUGCAUGAUGUUUCGCAUUCAAGGACAGUCAACCGGCGGCUGACACGUGUCUGAAGUCAGAAUGACGCGACUGAUAGGAUGUUUCGCUGACCCGUCACUUGGUUGAAGCGUACGGAAGAAGGACCAGGGGUUAGCUUAUAGCCUCAUGUCGCUUCGAUAAAUCUACUCUCCGAAAAACGAGGGGACUACCUUUAUACGGGUAAAAUCAGGGGCAGAGCCUUCCCCGAUUUCACGAAUAGGUAACAAAGUGGAAGCACGUUUCGCAAUCAAGGCCAUGGAACUUCUCAUAUUGAAAUCCGGGGGGAGUUAACGAUGCCUCUGAGACCGAGCCGGUGGAAUAAUGGACCCAAUCUGAGUAUAGCUAUGAGACUUUGGGAAACACAAAGAAAGAUUAUGCAUGGCGAGUAGGGGACCAUAAAUGCUCGGCCUCAACCGGAUAUCACGCACGAAUCCUGUUCAAUAUCAACCGUGGAUCGAGAUUUACUGAAAAAAGAAGAUUUUCAUCCAAUUUAGAUUUGUAUAGGAUUGAAAUUUUCCUACUAUAUAAGGAAGGUUUCCUUUAUUGUGACACACUGUAACAUGCAACUCAAAGCAAGAAAAGUUUACUUUUGUCUUCUACCUAUUAUUCAAGACAUUGCUCAUUUGUUCUUUUUUCUCACUGGUGACCGAGCUUGUAUCGAGGGUCCAAUCGAGGACGAGCCCCACUGUUCAAUCUAAAAUCAGGUUUGAUCAUUACAUUGCUAUUGGUUUGAUCCUUUAUUUCGUCCUUAAUUCAUUGACCUGUUAUUCUUAAUCAUUUGUAUUGAAUUAAACUACGUAUCAUUUAAACCGCAUACAAAUUUAAUUGUUGCUUAUUUUUGGGUAUAUAUAUAAAUUAUUAAUUUAAAACACAGUAACUUAAAUGAACUAAAAUUGUGAGCCCAUAAGCUUCAAAAUAUGAUUUGGCUCUGCUGAGUCCUCCCCAAAGGGUAGGUCCGCCUCCGGAUAAAGAAUAGCUGGCCUUGUAAUGUGGGAUUUUUCUUUUUCCCCACUGGAACAUGUACUUAACUUGUUUAACAGAAUUUCCUUAUAUUAUUUACACACAAAAUAAUGCAAGAAUGGAACCUGGUGCUUUCAUCGGAGAACAAUUUAUGUACCCUCAAAUUGAACGUGGUGAUUGAAAUAAGGAGAAUCUAAAGAAACGAAAAGGAAAUAGUAUCAACUACAUGACUACUGAAUAAACCAAAUGAUAAGGAGCAAAAAGAAAUGGCAAGUGACUAUUAGCUCUUUGAGCCAAAGAACAUGAGAGCAGAAGAAGCGCAGUAGAUUCCUAGUACUCCAUAUUUUAUACAUCACUCGUUUUGGACAUGACUUCAAAUUAGGCCAUGGUUUGACUGUUUUAACAUCACGGGUCGAAGAGAAACUCAUUAUCAAAAUUUGACAGCACGCAGAUAAUUAUGGAUAAAGAAUGGACAUACGAUUUAACUAGCUAACUAUGUUUUGGGAACUAAAAAAAUCAAGGUGGCAUUGAUUCCCAUGAAACAUAAUUGGAGGGGUCAUGUCAUAAUCUGUUGCCAAAAAAUGUCGGGGGUACAUGGCGAGUUCUGAUUGAGCAUGGGAAUAUAAAGAAAAAGCAGAUUACGACAACCAAAAACAAUAUCAUCAAAAGCUAAACGAUUUCGGAUUCGAAUUUUGAGACAAGAAUUUUUUUUUCGUUUAGCGAAUUUAACUGGCGCAAAUUCGAACGAAUGAAUUUUGAAUAUCGAAUAAGUAAAGAAAUCACCAAAAUUAAAAGGCUACCGACCAAAAGACGGAUGUAGAGUUAUGGUAUUAAGUUCAUUUGAAUCAAAUGUAGAAUAUAAAUUUAUAUGUAAAAAUUUAUUAUAAUUAUAAUAAAUAAAUAUAAAUAUAAACUCAUAACUAUAAAAAUAAUAUAUAUUUAAUACUUUAAUACUAAAAACUAUAAAGAUUUAAUUUAUAAAAAUUAAAUCCUGAAUUUACCAAACCCCUUUGCUACCGACGAGUUGAAGUCAUUAUAGUAUCUGAUCCCACUAGAUAAAGGCAAGUAAAAGGAUAGCUCUGGCCUACCUCUUAAGCAACAAUAUCCACACAUUGUCCUGUCCACACUCUUCUCCAAUGGAGAUUCUUCUCGUAUCUAUCUUAUACGUAUACUGUUUUCGUCUCAUAUUGACGGUCGUAAUUAUAAAAAAAAGUUAUUUUAAAUUAUUUAUUAUUUUAAAAGUUCAAGAUAAAAUUAAUUUUUUUUGUUAUUCUUAGUAAUAAUUGUUCUUGAAGAUAGAGAUAAUACAUAAAUAAAAUAAAUAUUCAAUAAAGAGAGAUUAUAUCUUAAGAAAUAAAUAAGAAUAGAAUAAUUUAAUUCUUUUCUAAUUAAUAUUUCUUAAGGGGCGUGUAAAAGAGAAAUACUACACAUAAUAUGAGACGGAAGGAGUAGUAUUCUAGUCUCAACCAUGUGAACUUCCUUAGAGCCGCCUCUACCAAGCUUCAACUCCAAAUUUUCCAUUUUCUUAAUAACUUUAUUAGUGAAAGUGAAAUUCUCCAAAAUCUAGAACGGCGCAUGUUAAAAAAUUAAAUUUCCUAGUCACUUAACUCACUGGUGGCGGAAUUUGGUCAUCUGCUACAUAUUUAUUGGAGUAUUUAUUCUUUUGUUUUUCAUAUCUGCAAGACCAAUGCAGAAGACUGAAAUGCAAAAUGAAGUCUUUGGGCGUACUCGGAGUAUACAAAUGAUUUAACUAAUAUACUUUUACAGUGUAAAAUUUUUUACUCUAUCCAUAUACUUUAAUCUGUUGUAGUAUAUUAUUUAUCUUAUUUUUUUUCCAGAUUAUUAGUCUUAGUUAUGGUUUACCUUAAAAUGAGUAAUAAUUAAAUUUGUACGCAAUUUAAAAAAUACGUAAUUUAGUUCCACACAAACGAUCAAAGAACAACAAAUAAUUGAAUUAAAAGAAAGCGAAGCAAUCAAACCAAACACUACGGAGUAGUUAAGCCUGGCGUCUAACUUGAACGCUAAAACCGAUCUCAAUCGAGCCAUCGGAAUGGAGCUCAGUUUUAGUUGAAUGAGAUAAUAACUGAAGAACGCUUUUAAAAAUUGCUAAAGAUAAAAGUAAACUUUAUUGGUUUGAUAUGCGUGCCAAUAAUGGUUGAAAAAUGAAAAGAUUCUCCCCUAUAUAUGGAUGGAAAUUCCAAUCCUAGUACAAGUCAAAAUAAGGUAAAAAUUUCUUUCUUCUAGUAAAACACGGUCUACAGUUGAUAUAGGGAGUGAUCCGCGCUGUAAUAUCCGAUUGAUGGUGGAUAUUUCGGCUCCUCGAUCGUCUUCUCUAACCGUCUUCCAUUUAACCUCGAUUCUUGAUUUUGCUUGAGCUCAAUUCUUCCCCCGUUUGGCCAUGCCCGAUUCUUGGCGUGUUAUUCGUCCCGCCGGGUUCUGAUUUGUGGGUGCCCUCGGCUUUACCCCAGUCGGCGUCGAACCACGUUAUCGCUCGUUUCUUCAUCGGAAAGUCGAGAUAUUAUUCCUGAUUUUACCCGUACAUAGUUAUUAUGAAUAAUUACNNNNNNNNNNNNNNNNNNNNNNNNNUAGAGGAUUCAAAAUAUAAAGAAGUGAACAUUCGGAGAAAUUAAGGGGAUUCAACAUUCACUGUAUAUACAUAAAAAAAAAUAAGUUUAUAUAUAUAAUGUAAUUUUUCGACGAAAGAGAUCUGAAUGAACCCUUUCGUCGCCCUAGCUCCGCCGAUGAUGUUGUUUGACCAAAAAGUGUUGAACUCUUGGUUAAACUAAUUAAUGAUAAAAAUGAAGGAAAAAUCUAAGUCAAACGUAAUUAACUCUAGAUCUAAGUAUAUUGAAUACGAGAAUCGAAUGAGGUCGAGCUUACAUAAUACUUCUUAAGAUUAUUAAAAGACAUCAAACAUAAAUGAUAAGCUUACAUAUUUGAUACAUUGUUCCGUGCUUGUAAGAGCAAAGAAGGAAAGGAAGGAAUGUCAUUGAUAACUAUGAGAUCUAUCUUUAUUGAUUCAACAAUGACGAUUACAAAGGUUUGCAACCAAAAUCUAGGCUUUUGCUUUGUUGUGGGAGGUCUCUUCCCAUUCUUCUGUUCCUUUUUCUCACCAGAGACCCCCCCUUUCCUAUCUAGAGGAUAAUAUCUGCGUCCUCAGUUCGAGUAGGAAUCUGAGUGAGCGACGACCACGUUGAGGGAGGCACGAUUCGAGGAGCGAAUUAGUGAACUUGAUAGGGAUGCUUCGAUCUUGGGAGACCGAGUUGCGGCUCUUGAAGUUGAGAAUGUGCAGUUAUUGGCUCAAGCUCCCCCUCAAGAGUCUGCUUCGGCCACUGUUCCUUGCCGCAUGUAUGAGCUAUGGGUCCAUGCUGAGGCCCAACGUGAUAUAUACAAGGGUUUAUGGGAGGCGGGGAAUGUUCCAGAGGCCGUCUUUGAAUAUGCUCGGGCGAAGGCACGCGAAGCUCGUAUUGCCUGCGGUUACGACCCUACGACACCGAAAGCUGGUGAGGGCAUUGAUGUUGAGGAUGGGCUUCCUUCUGAUGAUGAUGACGCUGGGGAGAAUAGCGGUGGAGGUGACACCGAGUGAAACAUUGUUGCAGCUUUGUACUUAGUUUUUUUUGUCCUUUUGUCAUUUAUUUUUACUCUUUUCUUGAGGGACUGUUUCGGCCUUUUGUAAGACAUGGCUGUUGCGCACGUACAUUUGAAUGAAAUAGUUGUUUCGCCUCCGUUUAUGUAUCUCUUGACUUUCUUUAAUUUCUCCUUCUCCCCUGUUUUUCUAUUUUGUUUUUUUUUUGUUUUUGGGGAGAAGAUUUUCGGAUUUCUCCGUGAUGCGUCCCCAAUCUUUUACUCGAGAAUUCGAAUGAGGAUGAAUCUGGUUUACUUGACUCGAGUGACAUUGGAUCCCAUUGUGUAAGUUCGGGCGAGACCGACUUCUGAUUUGCCAACUUGGGCGGAGUCAACCUUGAUUUGUAUAUUCGAACGAGGUCGAAUUUAGACUUUCCAACUUGGGCGAAGUCAAUCUUGAUUUGUGUAUUUGAACGAGGUCGAAUUUAGACUUGCCAACUUAGGUGAGGUCGAUCUUGACUUGUGUAUUCGAACGAGGUCGAAUUUAGACUUGCCAACUUGGGUGAAGUCGAUCUUGACUUGUGUAUUCGAAUGAGGUCGAAUUUAGACUUGCCAACUUGGGCAAAGUCAAUCUUGACUUAUGUGUUCGAGUGAGGUCGAACUUUCUUUUCAUUUGGCGAUGGCCGAUGGUCGUGAGGGUGUUAAUUCGAGCGAAGUCGGAAUUGUAACCCGUUGUAAAUUCGGGCGAGGUCGAACUUUCCUUUCGUUGGCGAUGGCCAAUGGACGUACGGCUGUUAAUUCGAGUGAGGUCGAAAUUGUAACCCGUCGUAAAUUCGAGCGAGGUCGAACUUUUCUUUCGUUUGACGAUGGCUGAUGGUCGUGAGGGUGUUAAUUCGAGCGAAGUUGGAAUUGUAACCCGUUAUAUUAUUUUUAUUGGAGAACAUUACACGUCGUCGUAUUGUUUAUGCGUACAUCGGUGUGAGUCCCAGUAUGCUUGGUUUUGCUUUCAUUGGGGAAUAUUGUGCGUUUCAUGGGUGAGUCCUAGUUCGCUUAACUUUGCUUUCAUUGGAGAAUAUUGUGUGUUUCAUGAGUGAGCCCCCUAUUCUGGAGAUUGUUUCUUAAUAGUCGACCUGUGUUGAACCGUUUCUGUUAUUUGUAGUACGAUACGGCUUAGAGGACUUUGCUUGGUCAUUGCUUACUAGAUGGUAUAGUACGGAACCUUUUCCUGGGUGUUUUGGUGGCGUCUGUUCCUUGUUCGUAUACCUGUGAGAGUGCUCAUGUUCCUAUUCUAAACCAACAAGAGAGCGUGAUAAGUUAAACCCAAACGAAAUUGCUUGUUACCUUGGCCUGGAAAAUCACUGAAAGGAGGAACGACGUUGUAGGGUCGCUCGCUUCGCCUCGUACUCAAAUGAUGAUUUCAGUUGGCGACUGUGUUUGACUUCGUCGUUAAUCGCAUCUAGGCUUCUCGUGGGUUGGACUUACCUUGCUUGUUGGGAUAUCGAACCAUGUCCCAGUCCGACCCCGUCUGAUAUGCACAAACAAUAAGGGAAAAAUGUCAUACUUUGUUCACAAAUCACCCGGUGCGUGUGGGUACAAAAAUAAGACAUAUAUGCCCGUUAUUUCAAAGAAUCACAUAGUAGGUUAUCGUAAGAGGUGGAAGUACGGGCCGGUAUAUAAGGUGAAUACGUCAAAUGAGAUUGUGGUCAUGCUAAGCGCACAGUGACUGUGAUCCUACUUUAAACAUGCAUUUGACGUGCCUAACCCAUCGCUACAGAUGAAACAUGGAUUUUGCAUAGACAUCGAUCAUAAUUUCUAUUUCAUGUAGAGAUCUGACCUAGAUUGGUUUAGUUAUCCCAAAAGCUUAUCUACUACUUUUCCAUGUCGGUGUUUAUACCGAGACGGUGAGGCUAUGACAACCUGGAAAUGAUACUUGGCUGGUUUUAGAUCUAAAGGAAACUAAAAAAUUGGCUAAGAAAUCCCCAUAGACGGCGCCAAAUUAUUUGACCAAAAAGUGUUGAAGUCUUGGUUAAACUAAUUAUCGAUGAAAAUGGAGGAUAAAUCUUAGCCAAACGUAAUUAACUCUAGAUCUAAGCAUAUUGAAUACGAGAAUCGAAUGAGGCCGAGCUUACAUAACUCUUCUUAAGAUUAUUAAAAGACAUCAAACAUAAAUGAUAAGCUUACAUCUUUGAUACAUUGUUCCGUGCUUGUAAGAGCAAAGAAGGAAAGGAAGGAAUGCCAUUGAUAACUAUGAGAUCUAUCUUUAUUGAAUCAACAAUGACGAUUACAAAGGUUUGCAGCCAAAAUCUAGGCUUUUGCUUUGUUGUGGGAGGUCUCUCCCCGUUCUUCUGUUCCUUUUUCUCACUAGGGACCCCCUUUUCUUGCCUUCUUACUUCAUAUAUAUAUAUAUAUAUAUAUAUAUAUAUAUAUUACAAAUCGUCUCCUUUGUCUAACAAUCUUUAACCAGCAUACCCCCCUCCCCUGACUAUGCUCUCCCUUACUCGCUCAAGCAAUACGACAUAUAUUCUGUUGUGCAAGUUUUCUGAUGGCUCGAUCUCGGCAGUGGUCGAGAUACUCAUUGCUAUUACGCUUUGUGGGUACGAUAAUAAUUUGGUCGACCUCUUACUAUUCUUUUAGUGAUAAUCCACUUAUGGUCAAAUUUUGACCCGUACAGAUGUGACUUUAGAUGACCAACAACCAGUGCUUAUCCCCAUUUAGGGGAUGGCAAGUUAAAAUUUAUUUUUUGCUUUCGGGUGACGAUAAGAGCUCAUGGCUUGUGCCCAUAUUUGGUCACUCUUUUUUCCAUUUAAAAGAAAACAAGAAACCAUACUGCGGGAAAUUGGAGGAGACCUCCUCAUGACGACUGAUCACAAAAUUUAGCUUGUUUGACUUUGACGUAAUGCUGAUGCAGUUUCUCCAGAAUUUCAUGCACAAUCUAGGAAUUCUUUUUUAUUGCAAGUUGCGUCCAACUUUCACACCAAGUGGUCUGGUGUUGUACCUGAAAACAUGGAUUUAAACUUAUCUACGCAAAUAUUCCACACAACUUUUAUGCUAUCGCUGUAUUCUAAACUAUUAUACUAUCUAACUUGGACCUUUCUAGCUUCACAAGAUAAGGGCGGGAACGGAUUCAAUGCAUUAGUUACAGGUUUCCGGGAUAAUAUUGGGUUAAUUAUCUAUAUUUUUUUUUUUGAACAAGUGUUUACACCUAACAAUUAAUACUUGACACAAGUAUUCACACUCUCUUAUAACUCAUCAUUAGUUAACUAUUACACAUUUUCACCGGGUACGUAUAAUUAGUUUUUUCUCAUAACUCUUUUUUGUUUCAAUUUACUGAGCUCCCUCUUCUAAAAGCUAAAACUCUUACAAAUGUGUCAUUAAAUGGGGUGCAAUAGAUAUUAUGGGUCAAGAAUUAAUUUGGUGGUAGAAGUUGGCUAUUGUAUUUAUGAGACUCACCAGCCAAUGGCCCUUUCUAGAGCUACCUUCACAAUUCAUAUUGAUAAAUGGACCAUUCUUACGAUCCUCCCAACCUUUACAUUAAUUACAGUCAUACAAUAAUUUCCUAAGUUCCAACUACUACUAUUCAAUCUCACACCUUACUCUUUCCUGUGAAGUAUUGAAAUACUACACCAUACUUUCAUUCAGAAUUAAUUAAAAAAAAACCUACAUCCCUACCAUCCAUAAAUUAUUUCAUUAUGGAGCCACCUACUUUUUAUUCCUCCUUUUUUCUUUUCGUUUCUUCUCCUCUUUUCUUUUUUUCAAACAAAGUCCUGCUUUUGAACUUUUUACAAAUUACAACCAUUAAUUAAUAUUUGUAAAAAAAGCAGCUACUAUUACUGGAGAUGCUACGAAUUUUCUUUUAUCUCCACAUAAAGUUUCUACGUACCAAUACGGAAUUACUAGUACUAAUUUUCUAACAUUUGUCGGGACUGAAUCCAACGAGGUUGCUAGCCAGGUCAUAACUGACACGUGUCCCUUGCUGCUGUAUGUUUCCAAUAAUAGAUAGGGACCCUUCCGUCGGAGCAAAAGCCAAGCAGAAUUUCCCCGACGAGUCCACCGCUAUCAGGUAAUUCUUCGGGUGCAACGACAGCGUUUUAUCGCCGGUGAAAUGAAGCGCCACCGUCGGAACACUCACUUUCGUCAUGGACGACAGGUCGUAGCAAGUGUCAAACAGGGCGAAUUGCCCGGCGGAAGGCAAAUUCUGAGUGAAUUUCACGAAGGAAUCACGCAAAGCAUUGUAAGCGGUGGUCUGUAACCGAGUCACCGCCGUACCGGAGUCUACAAUGAUCCCGCCGUUUCCACUUCCAUCCACCUGGAAUACCGACGCUGGAAUCGACAACAUCUGGCCGCCUACACUGAUUCCAGUAAGUCCGACGUAGAAGAAAGUGCUCCUUCUCGAGUUACGGAGUAACGGAGCAAUUACGGAGUCACCCGGCCGUGCGGAGUUAAAAUCCAGCGUCGACGACGAAGCAGAGUCACGGUCCACGAAGCAGUAGGAAAACGACGACGCUUUGAUUUGAGAUGGCAGAGAUAAAGUGCCGCCGCCUAGAGCUAUUAAACCAGCGGCGCCGACGAAGAGUCCUUCGUUAUCAUGGCCACAGCCUAUAGCAACUUUAGAGAACGAACCAGAGUUCCCAAAGGACACCGUUUCAGUAGCAAACUCUCCUACGGUGAACGAGCCGUCACCGUACGAGACCUGGUAGAGACACGCGUUAGUACCACAAGCGGAGACCUCAAGAGCAGAGCAGUGAGCAUCAUCGCAAGAGACCCGACUGUAAGUGGAAGAACCCGACGGAUUGAAAACUGGAUCCGACUGCUGAUAACAAUCGGAACACGGCUCACAUUGAAGCCACGUGAUGUCACUGCCAGUGUCUAAAACCAUGUAGAAUUCUUUAGCCGGUUGGCCCAACCCGAGCCGAGUGAAAUACUCGCCGCUCCCCUGACUAGCUCCUGAAGUAAUAGGAGUUUGAAGAUCUUCGGGUUGCAACAUGGUUUGAACCGGCUUGAGAUCCGAGUGAGUAAAGUUGGUGAGUGAGAGGGUGAGUUUCAUGGUCAGUGAGGAAACUCGGGCCGAGUCACGUUCGAGUCGAGAGAGAGUGAGGGAUGCAUAGUCCUUAUGACGUGGCUUAACUAGAGCUGAACGAGGGUAAAUUGAAACAGAGAUUGAAGAAGUAUUAGAAGCGGUACUUGUAAUAGCUUCUUGUUGAAAAGUUUGAGAAGUAGGAGAGAGAACUUGAACAGUUUUCUUAAUGGAUUCUGCUACGUCAAAGAUUUGGGAGUGUGGAUUUGAAGAUGAUAAGGAGCGAGAGAGAGCACAAGGGACGAAAAGAAGAAGAAAAAAGAGGCAAAAUUGGGCCAUUUUUGGGGAAAUGUUAGAAUGAAAGGAAUGGAGAAGAAAAGAGAGGAAGAAGUGGAUAUAAGUAGAAGGAGAAGGGUGGGAAAGCCGAAAGGGAAGGGAAAAGAAAGGGAGGGAGGGGGCUCACGUCACACUUGUUGAAUCAAAACAAAAGCAUUUAAAACAGAGAAAGAAGCUUGAUACCUGCUCUCUGUUCUACAACUAUAAAAGAAGAGAAGAUAUUGCCACCAUUAAUUUCCUCUUCUUUAUUAUUCAUUUUUGUCCUUAUUCUUUUCCUUUCCCCUUUUUUUAAUUAUUAGUAAUAUUGUCCAACAAAUGUAUAAUUUACCUAAAUUCGUUCAAAGGUUAAUGUACUUGUACAGGCUAGUUUACUUUUUGAUAAGUGGACUUAUAUUCUUAUUUACUUCUAUAAAACUUAAACUAAAAAAGACAACCUUUAAAUUUAUUUUUCCCCUAAUCAUAUGCUUAGUUGGUGGAUAAUAAAAUGAAAUUAAAAAGGAGGGAAAAUCUCCCAAAAUCAUUGAGCAUGGGAAUGGUAACAAAGUCGACGAAUAUUCUUUCAUUAUAAUAAUUAAAAAUCUUGCAUUUUAGAAUUCAUUCUACAGUGAAGAAGAAAACGGAUACUUUGUACUCAAAGAAAAUGGAGGACUAACAGUUUGCUGACAAUGUGAAUUUUGAUGGUGAAGGUAAGCUUCAACCUGGACUUUAUGCAAUUUACUAAUUUUAAGUUUGCAUAUUUUUUUAAUGGAAAAAUUAAUCUAAUUUAUUUAUAUGGUGUGUUAAAUUUUACAAUGUAUAGAUUGCUUGUGCCUUUAACUUUUACUUGGAUCUUAAAAUACAAGAUUUUCAAUUUAAUUUUUUUUUAUAUGAGAUAGUAGACCUCAUAAUAUAAUGGAAGAGUGUCCGCUGGUUUUGUUACAAUUCUCCAAUGGUUGCCGAUUUUGGGAGAUCUUUUCCCAUUUUAAUUUCUUUUAUUGUCCGCCUGCUAAGCAUCCGAUUAGGAAAAAAGAUAGACUUAAACGUUGCUUUUUCAAAUUUAUAUUUUAUAAUAAGUAAGUAAGAACAUGAGUUCACUUGUCAAGAAAUAAAUUAGACUCGCACAAGUAAUGUUGGUUAUUGUAUUUUAGAUUAAAGCUGACAAUGUUGUCCAACAAAUGUGUAAUUUACCUAAACCCGUUCAAAGGUUAAUGUACUCGUUGAUGUAACCCAAAUCCAUCCUUUCAAAACAUUGAUUCAACUUGGGUUAUGGUACUACUUCAAAUCAUAUCAAUAAGAGAGUUUGUAAACAUAUAAUAAAUAUUUACAAACAAAUAGUUUAAUGGCAUACCCAUAUUUCAUAUUUAGAUAGGAUUUUAGAUCGGUGGGCUAUUACACAAUCUUUUCAGUAACAUAGGCUGUUUCUUGAGUUAAAGAAGAAAUCUUCCUACUUUUUCCUCUUUAAAUUUUGAGGUGAGUGUAUGGUGCUGGAUUUUAUCCAUUGCUCUGCCUCUUGCAAGUGUAGUUGGCAAAUUAAUUACGCGGCUACUACUCUAUCCAUUGUUACGGCGGGUAGUUAGAGCAAUCAAUACUUGAAGUUGGCUAUAUAUAGUUGCUACACAAAAAAAUUCGAAUAUGUUCGAAGAUCUCGAAAUGAUCUUCCAGUUCGGGGGAGAAUUCGCAAAAUUCCGUUUCCAUCGAGAAUAGAAUUGAUCUUUCCCUUAUUUCGACCGGAGAAUCUAACAGAGACAUUACUGUGGAUAUUCUAACCAAAAAAUUAGACAUUCCAUGCCCUCGGAGAGUGCUUUGUCGUGCUAGGUCACUGACAUAUCCUUUUUUGUCUUUAUUUGACCCCAAGAAUGGAUUGGAUCGAAACGACUUUCCUGUUGAAGCCCUUUAUGUCUGUAUUAAUUUCACUCACGUUGGACCGGUGUUUAAAUUAAAAUUAUAAAGUAUGAUAUCAGUAUGUUAGAAAAAACUUUUACUACUAUAACUUAACCAUGCGAAUUACUAUGUAUUUCUUACCUCAAUUUAGCAUAUAACGAUGACAAAUUGAUGUGAUGUGAUGUAAUACUUAUAUAGAUAAGUAUUUAAUUAUAUUAGUGCUUUGUUUGGGAACAGCAGCAAAGACAUUCUUUGAGCCACCCUACUCUAAAUCAAGAAACCAAUGAAAUUGUCUGGUGUUUUCAGUCUAACUUGUUUGCUUGAUUGUCAAAAUUAAUAGUCUUUGACAUACUGGUCACUCUAAUAGUAAGCAACCUCCACUUCCAACCAAGAGGUUGUGAGUUUGAGCCUCCCCAAAAGCAAGGUGGGAAGUUCUUGGAGGGAAGGAUGUCGGGGUCUAUUUGGAAACAGCCUCUAUACCUCAGGGUAGGGGUAAGGUCUGCGUAUACACUACCCUCCCCAAACCCCACUAAGUGGGAUUAUACUGGGUUGUUGUUGUUGUAUAUAGUAAGGUCAUUGGUGAUUUUCUAAAACAUUAAUAUUGCAAAAUAUUAAGUUUAUUUUGUAAUGGAGUGCAUGAAAGUUUUUGAGUUGAUAUAGUUAAAUAAACUUGCAAGAUGUAAGCUCUAAUCUUAUUUGUGGCAAAAGAUAUGGUGACCACCAAGCCUCAAUGGCACCCAUGAGAUACUUAAAGAUGGAUUAAUGCAGUUAUGUGACGAAAUUUAAAAGGAAUAUAUAUGUGAGAAAUAUGAAUCAAGAACACAAAAGAUUUAGGUCUGAAAUACGUUACAUAAUGUUUUUCUGAAAGUAAUAUUUGAUCCUGCUCCUUUGCGAGAUUGUUAUGAUAUUGUAUGCAAAUAGUUUUAACUUUUAAUGGAUAUGGCCACAUGACAAGAUUUUCAAAUUUUGGAUAAUCUCAGAGACCUCCCUUUAAGUUUCGCUCCAUCACACUGAUCACCCUCGUGAUUUAUGAUAUAACGUCUAUCUCCCUUAUUUUAAUUUAGUAACAAUUCUUUUCACCUAUUUAUUAUUAAUAUAAAACGUGCUAAUUAAUCAAAUUGUAAUAAUUUAAAUCUUAUUCAACCACUUCUUUAAGAAUUCUAUAUUAAACACAUUAUUCAGUAUCUAGCAUAAAAUGCUAGGUCCUCAGACUUACGCCAGAAGGUAAAUCUUUCUACUCUUUCUUCUAUUUCUAGUAAUACAAAACACUAAAACUUCAACGAGAGCAAAAAAUUCACAUAGGUGAAAUCCAUUUGUUGGGAUUAAACUGUAGGAAUGGCAAACGAUUAGCACGGAAUGAAUAAAAUCGACUUGGAUAGAAGGGAAUAGAGAUAGAUGAUGCAUAUUUGGCAUUGACCCAACUAUUAGGGAUUGAGGCAUAGUUGAUUAAUUGAUUGAUAUAUUUCUAGUAUACAAACUCAUUGAUCUGCGGUGUUGACAUUGUUUACGGGUAAUAUGAUCUAGAGGUAAUGAGGUACUUACUAUGCCAUUUUCAACAUUUAUGUACAAUAUCUAUGCAAAGUGUAGCCUCCACCGAUCAGGUUCGUUUUUUUCAACAACCUCCACUGGCAGGCUCAAUGGAGCUUAGCAGACCAUUGCCUCUCAGCUGCGUGCAAUGCUCUUCUGCAUCAGCUUGAGCACAGAUUAUCACCACCGCCAGACCAUUGUAAUGCGCCUCUUGCAUGAUAUUAACAGCAUUGUCGACUGUCAUCCCCGGUAUAACCUUCAUGAGUACUUGAACUACAUACUCCCUCUUGUUGUAGUUGUCAUUGUGCAGCAUCACACGAUAGGGCGGGGACAUCUUCCUUGAUUUUCUGCAAAAGGAAGACACAAAUUAUAGUACUAGUAGAUUGUUAAUCAUUGCAUUUUCUUUGUACAUUAAGUUUUAUUGCAUUUCACCCAGAAAGUAAAGCAAUACAACCAGAUACCUACAUGCAGUUCUCCUGAUAUGCAGCUCUCAUCACCAAGAGAUCUUUUUUUAUAUAAAAUAAAUUAAGUAAUGUAAUCAUCAACAGCAAAGUUUCUGGUCUGCUUUGGGGUUAAAGCCAUAUUCAACUCUAAUAUAACUUAUCCAUGAGAAAUAAACAAUAAAUACAACCUCUGUGCUUAGUGGAGAUAUAUUGGUCUUCUUGCCUAAAGGAAAAUAGUGCUCCCUAAAGAAAAUACUCCAGAUUUGUGUUUGUACAUAGAUCGUUCAUCUUUACAGAAAUAACCAUUAUUUGGAAACCGUUGCUCUGUUCUCCUCUCCACCUACACACCCUUGAAUUGCCACCAAUUUUGUUUUCUUUCUCCUCUUCGUUCCCCAUCCUCCUCCUUAUCCCUGUUGUACAGAGUACUUACACAUCACCUUAACAACAAGCUAGCAAUAAAAGUUGCUUUGGACAAGAAUUCUUCAAUUACUCAUAACAGGGCAAAUAAUAAUUGGGAUGUGCAUCUCAGGAGAUCUGUUCAAGAUUGGGAGAUGGAAGACUUGAUGGAAAUGCUAGCAAGAUAGGAGGCCUACAACUAGGGGUGGCAAACAGGAGGUCAUGUCGGAUAUGAACGGGUUGAAAACGGGUAAUGCAAAAACGGAUAAACUAUCCGACCCCACCCAUAUGUAAUACGGAUAAAAAACGAGUUAACCGAUAAAUAAUAUGGAUAUUCAUAUUAUCCAUGGCUUCUUGAAUAUUAUCACUUUUGGGAGAAUUACUAGUCUCUCAAACUUGAGGAACUCCCAAUUUGAGGCUUUACAAAUAUAAAAGUUAAACUCAUUAGUUAUCCAUUGAUUAUCCAUUUUUUAAGUGGAUAAUAUGGUUUUUAUCCAUAUUUGAACUGUUUUUAAAUAGUUCAUUAUCCAACCCAUAUUUUAAUGGAUACUAUGGGUGGAUAACUGUUUACGUUUAACUAUUUUGCCACCACUACCUACAACAUUGAUGAGAAUGUUCCAGACAGUAUGAGAUGGAGCUGUAAGGGUCUUUUCACGGUUAAAGAUUGCUAAAGGCAACUUAACAAUCAGAAUCAGGAAUUACACUCAUGGCCUUGGAAACUGAUACGGAGGACAAAAUUACUGUGAAAGUGACAUGCUUCAAUUGGAUUGCCCUUCAUGAAGCCUACUUAACACAAGAUAAUCUUAACAUAAGGGAAUUUCAGCUGGUUAACAGAUGUAAUCUUUGCACAAGGUACCAAGAAACAGUUAGUCACCUACUUCUACAUUGUCCAGUAGCCACAGACCUAUGAAACAUGUUCUACUGUAUUUUUGGCCUGAGUUGGGUCAUGCCACAAAGCCUGAGAGAGGCACAUAUGAGCUGGAGUCGUUGGGAGGUUGAUAAGGCCAUCAAGAAGAUCUGGCUUAUGAUCCCUGCAACUAUUUUUUGGUGCUUAUGGAACAAGAGGAAUAGAAGAUGUUUUAUGGCACCUCAACCCCAAACCACUUACUCAAAUCUAAAUGCUUGCUCAAUCUUUUUGUUGGACAAAGUUGUCCCCCGUAAAAAGUAUUGGACACCUUUUGGAUUUUAUUAGCUCUCUUGUCCUAGAUUGAGACUUUGUUUUGGGGCAAACAAUGAUCUCCUGUAUUUUUGUUUAUUUUGCAACUAUGCCUCUUGUAACUUUGCAUCUUCUUGAUGCCUUCUUAAUGAAAGAUAUUACUUCAUUACAAAUAAAUAAUUAAAAAAAAAACAAGCUAGCAAUAUGUCUGUAACUUACAACACUAAGAGCCUCGCACAUGUCUAUGGUGCAAAAAGAUCGUUCAGGGAGGAGGAAAUUCAUUUUUCCAUUUCAAAAAUUUAAGGGUUCUUUUGAUUGGAGUCCAGACUACUGACAGAUAUCACAUGAGCUGUGGUUUUUAAACGUGUGACUAAUGUUGGUUAAAAUAGGUUACAAGCAGAGGCGAAUCAAGGAUUUGAAGUGUAUGGGUUCCUACAAUAAUUUCAAGUCAAUAUAUCAAAAAAACAAACUAAGGUAUGUGUGCUUGUAGUGUUCCUAUUUGGCUGGUCUCUUUAGUUUAACUUGGUAUUUUUUCAAUAUUUAAAGAGGAAAAUACGUGUGGUGUUUUGUAAAGACAACAAAAAAGGAAGUUGAGCCCAAAGGGAUUUGAAACCUCCCCAAUUGCAGGAGCAAGUUUAUGAGGGUUCAUCUUUUGCCACGGAACCAACAUGAUGUUUUGGUACUAGGUUCCGACACAAAAUAUAUUAUACAUUUAUUAGAUUUCUCAAUGUAUUUACCGGGUAUCGACAAAAGUUAUUGGGUUCCCAGGAACCCAUACCCACCAUUGUAGAUCCGCUCCUGGUUACAAGAGGUGAAGGCUGGAUGUUGUGGUGGUUGGAGUUUGACAGUCCAUUUCUCUUGGUAGUAUGCCAGUUUGCAAAGACAAUAUAAAGAGGGUGGAGAACAAAGCAUGAAAAGCCUUCUUCUAAAUUUGGUGAGAAAGGACGCAAUGCCCUAAUAUAUUUGACAAAUAACUGCCCAGUUAUAUCACUAGGAAACAUUUCGGGGAGUUUUUGCUUUUUCUUUUUAAUAAGGGAAAUGUAGUCUCGGGAAAGGAAAUAGUAACAGGUCCGCCGAACAAGAAUAGCAACUAAAGAAUGAACACAAUUUAUUUCAUAGUCUACAUAUGGCACGGUUCCGCUCAACUUUGCUUUUCAGGAAGAAGAAAAAGAGAAUAAUAGACUGUUAUCUGUUGUGCAAAGUAGUUGAGAUGUCUCCUGGCAGAAACCACAUCAAUGUGAAAGAGAAGACUAAAAGAAAUUUGGACUCAUGAAAGAACAACAAAGCCUUCAGAACCUGAACUAAUUGUAACAACACAUACUUAACAUUUGAGGAAUCCAUACCUCAAGUCGAAUUCAGAUUCACGCCCAGGAGUUGUUUUCUCGAUAACAGGCUUCUCCAACAACCCACCACCUUUGCCUACUCCUGCUAUAGGCAUUGCCAUCAAUGUGUUCCGAUUUGUCCAUUGUUUUUGACGAGGUUUUGUAUCUCCUGUAUCACAUUACCCGCAGAUAAUUCAAUCUUAUGCGUGUCAAAAUUCAUGAAGAACACAAUGGUAAUUCAUCAGUUCUCCAUCUUAUAUACACCUACUCUAAUCAUCUAUACAUUAGAUACAAAGUAAUUUCCUACUGAGUGAAUUGAUACUCUUAAAUAAUAGUCAUUAAAUCCAUGAUAUCUCGAAAUCAAUACAUUUCUCUUAGACCAACUGCAUACUUCACUAGUUUCAAAUGGAAGUAUGUUCAAUAGUUUCUAAAAGUAUUAAUGACUAGGUAACGAUAAUCGACUAGCCAGAGAUGCAGAUAAAAAGUCAGCCCUUCAACUUGGACUUUCAUGCUUCUCUCACAUAUUUCAGACCUUUGUAGUAAAGAAAACAGUCCCAUUUCUUCCUUAGUAAAAGUUCAAAGUUCAAUUUACUCUUUAUUGAAGUUGUUAUGAACAUUUUAGGGAAAAGAAUAUCAUAAAGAGCCCUGUAUCUACCCCACCCCCCACCCCAACACACACACAAAAACAAACACCUCCCAAUUGACACUCGCUUUUUCUGUAUUGGAGCGUUCACUGGUACUUUAGGGUAUUCACUAGAUAUCGGGGGGUUUUAAUCCAGUUCAAAGACAGCAACCUUCUCUCUAUUUUGUCACUCUAAAUGCACAUGAGAGAGGUUUAAAGUCAAGAAUCCACGAACCCCACCUCAGGAAAGCAAGAAUAAUCCAUAAAUUUUGAAACAAAAUCAGGUCCAGGAACAUUCAAGAAAACUAACUAGGCCAAUUAAAAUUGCCACAAUUUUUGGAAAGAACGAGCAAUUCUUGGUGAAACAACAGUAAAGAUUCAACAAUCAAACAAUUAACAUAUUUUAGAGAGAGAAAAAUGGGUAGUUUACCAGGUUUUGGUUGGAAGAUUUGAUGGGGAGAAAGAGCAACUCGGCCACAAAUGGCUGUCUCCAUUACCAUAACUCCCCUCUCUCUCUCUCUAUCUCUCUGUUUCUCUCACCACCAACCACACAGCACCACUACUAAUACUACUGACUUCUGAUUUUAUAAUCUACCACAAAUUUCUUCUCCUUUUCUUUUUCACCUGAUAAUUUGUAUAAUAACUGCGAAAUAAGAAGAAAAAUUAAAUGUGUGGUCGGUACUAUAACAGUCGAUCAAGAUUCAAGUCCUUCACACAUAUGGAAAGUAGACACG
rnacentral:lncRNA from 1 species